rnacentral:rRNA from 1 species
CCGCACGGGUGAGUAACACGUAUCCAACCUGCCGUCUACUCUUGGACAGCCUUCUGAAAGGAAGAUUAAUACAAGAUGGCAUCAUGAGUCCGCAUGUUCACAUGGUUAAAGGUAUUCCGGUAGACGAUGGGGAUGCGUUCCAUUAGAUAGUAGGCGGGGUAACGGCCCACCUAGUCUUCGAUGGAUAGGGGUUCUGAGAGGAAGGUCCCCCACAUUGGAACUGAGACACGGUCCAA